CAAAUAACACAUUAUAAUAAUCAAUUGUAGAAAAAAAGAAAGAAAGAAAAAAAAAAAACCAAAACAACAAAUAUGUGUUCUGUAUAGCGAGCCAAGUAUGUAUACAUAUAUAAAUAUAUAUGUAUAAUACAGCCGUAUAGUUUCGGGGACACGUUUUUUGACGCGAGUAUUUCAGUCGAAUAAAUUACGUACAGUUGUCAGGGG